rnacentral:rRNA from 1 species
GAUGAACGCUGGCGGCGUGCCUAAUACAUGCAAGUCGAGCGAACGGACGAGAAGCUUGCUUUUCUGAUGUUAGCGGCGGACGGGUGAGUAACACGUGGAUAACCUACCUAUAAGACUGGGAUAACUUCGGGAAACCGGAGCUAAUACCGGAUAAUAUUUUGAACCGCAUGGUUCAUAAGUGAAAGACGGUCUUGCUGUCACUUAUAGAUGGAUCCGCGCUGCAUUAGCUAGUUGGUAAGGUAACGGCUUACCAAGGCAACGAUGCAUAGCCGACCUGAGAGGGUGAUAGGCCACACUGGAACUGAGACACGGUCCAGACUCCUACGGGAGGCAGCAGUAGGGAAUCUUCCGCAAUGGGCGAAAGCCUGACGGAGCAACGCCGCGUGAGUGAUGAAGGUCUUCGGAUCGUAAAACUCUGUUAUUAGGGAAGAACAUAUGUGUAAGUAACUGUGCACAUCUUGACGGUACCUAAUCAGAAAGCCACGGCUAACUACGUG